AAUUAUCGAGGAUAGAACAGGCAGCUAUCACUCCUACUUAUGUAGGUCUUAAAGAGAUGUGGACGUGCCAAUCCACCGAUAAUA
rnacentral:ncRNA from 12 species